rnacentral:rRNA from 1 species
GGGGGAUGCCUGUGGCUCUCAGAGGCGAUGAAGGACGUGACAAGCUGCGAAAAGCUACGGGGAUUGGCAAAUACGAUUUGAUCCGUAAAUAUCCGAAUGGGGCAACCC